CUGGUUAAUGGGACUCUGAAUAAAGAAAUCACACAGCCCCCUUUAUUGCAUCCCAGUUCUCUGACUCCUAAUCAGCAGCUAGGUCCAGUACAGUGAGAGGUUAUUU